rnacentral:rRNA from 1 species
GACGAACGCUGGCGGCGUGCCUAAUACAUGCAAGUCGAACGAACUCUGGUAUUGAUUGGUGCUUGCAUCAUGAUUUACAUUUGAGUGAGUGGCGAACUGGUGAGUAACACGUGGGAAACCUGCCCAGAAGCGGGGGAUAACACCUGGAAACAGAUGCUAAUACCGCAUAACAACUUGGACCGCAUGGUCCGAGUUUGAAAGAUGGCUUCGGCUAUCACUUUUGGAUGGUCCCGCGGCGUAUUAGCUAGAUGGUGAGGUAACGGCUCACCAUGGCAAUGAUACGUAGCCGACCUGAGAGGGUAAUCGGCCACAUUGGGACUGAGACACGGCCCAAACUCCUACGGGAGGCAGCAGUAGGGAAUCUUCCACAAUGGACGAAAGUCUGAUGGAGCAACGCCGCGUGAGUGAAGAAGGGUUUCGGCUCGUAAAACUCUGUUGUUAAAGAAGAACAUAUCUGAGAGUAACUGUUCAGGUAUUGACGGUAUUUAACCAGAAAGCCACGGCUAACUACGUGCCAGCAGCCGCGGUAAUACGUAGGUGGCAAGCGUUGUCCGGAUUUAUUGGGCGUAAAGCGAGCGCAGGCGGUUUUUUAAGUCUGAUGUGAAAGCCUUCGGCUCAACCGAAGAAGUGCAUCGGAAACUGGGAAACUUGAGUGCAGAAGAGGACAGUGGAACUCCAUGUGUAGCGGUGAAAUGCGUAGAUAUAUGGAAGAACACCAGUGGCGAAGGCGGCUGUCUGGUCUGUAACUGACGCUGAGGCUCGAAAGUAUGGGUAGCAAACAGGAUUAGAUACCCUGGUAGUCCAUACCGUAAACGAUGAAUGCUAAGUGUUGGAGGGUUUCCGCCCUUCAGUGCUGCAGCUAACGCAUUAAGCAUUCCGCCUGGGGAGUACGGCCGCAAGGCUGAAACUCAAAGGAAUUGACGGGGGCCCGCACAAGCGGUGGAGCAUGUGGUUUAAUUCGAAGCUACGCGAAGAACCUUACCAGGUCUUGACAUACUAUGCAAAUCUAAGAGAUUAGACGUUCCCUUUGGGGACAUGGAUACAGGUGGUGCAUGGUUGUCGUCAGCUCGUGUCGUGAGAUGUUGGGUUAAGUCCCGCAACGAGCGCAACCCUUAUUAUCAGUUGCCAGCAUUAAGUUGGGCACUCUGGUGAGACUGCCGGUGACAAACCGGAGGAAGGUGGGGAUGACGUCAAAUCAUCAUGCCCCUUAUGACCUGGGCUACACACGUGCUACAAUGGAUGGUACAACGAGUUGCGAACUCGCGAGAGUAAGCUAAUCUCUUAAAGCCAUUCUCAGUUCGGAUUGUAGGCUGCAACUCGCCUACAUGAAGUCGGAAUCGCUAGUAAUCGCGGAUCAGCAUGCCGCGGUGAAUACGUUCCCGGGCCUUGUACACACCGCCCGUCACACCAUGAGAGUUUGUAACACCCAAAGUCGGUGGGGUAACCUUUUAGGAACCAGCCGCCUAAGGUGGGACAGAUGAUUAGGGUG